UACGGAGGGAGCUAGCGUUGUUCGGAAUUACUGGGCGUAAAGCGCGCGUAGGCGGUAGGCCAAGUCUGCUGUGAAAUCGCCCGGCUCAACUGGGCGCGGUCGGUGGAAACUGGUCAACUGGAGGACGGUAGAGGCGAGUGGAAUUCCCGGUGUAGUGGUGAAAUGCGUAGAGAUCGGGAGGAACACCAGUGGCGAAGGCGGCUCGCUGGGCCGGACCUGACGCUGAGGCGCGAAGGCGUGGGGAGCGAACGGG
rnacentral:rRNA from 1 species